UUCAAUUUAUUUUAUGUUUAUUUGUAUGAAAAUAAGAGCUAGAAUAACAACAGGAACGUAAUAAGAAAGGCGGUAUAUCUGCAUCACAUUGUUGAGAGCUGAUUAUGCAUUAUGUGAAGUGUACCUAAAUACAGCACUCUGCUUCCUUGUCUCUGAAGAUGGAAGACACUACAGAGUGACAACAUGUCCUCAGCCCUUCCCUGUUUUAAAAAAGGGAACAGCUGUUGACAACUGAUCUAAUUCUAGCCAUGUGUGAGUUUGUGAGGCUACAGUACUGAGAUGAGAACAUAGUCUAUUCUAGAACACAGAGGCUAUGCCACUCCAAACCAGCAGUCCAUUCUAGAGCACAGAGGCUAUGACAUUCCAAACCAACAGUCCAUUCAAGAACACAAACCAACAGUACAUUCGAGAACACAGAGGCUAUGACAUUCCAAACCAACAGUCCAUUCUAGAACACAGAGGCUAUGCCAUUCCAAACCAGCAGUCCAUUCUAGAGCACAGAGGCUAUGCCAUUCCAAACCAGCAGUCCAUUCUAGAGCACAGAGGCUAUGACAUUCCAAACCAACAGUCCAUUCAAGAACACAAACCAACAGUACAUUCGAGAACACAGAGGCUAUGACAUUCCAAACCAACAGUCCAUUCUAGAACACAGAGGCUAUGCCAUUCCAAACCAGCAGUCCAUUCUAGAGCACAGAGGCUAUGCCAUUCCAAACCAGCAGUCCAUUCUAGAGCACAGAGGCUAUGACAUUCCAAACCAACAGUCCAUUCUAGAACACAAACCAACAGUCCAUUCUAGAACACAGAGGCUAUGAAAUUCCAAACCAACAGGCUAGUCUAGAACACAGAGGCUAUGACAUUCCAAACCAACAGUCCAUUCUAGAACACAGAGGCUAUGACACUACAAACCAACAGUCCAUUCUAGAACACAAACCAACAGUCCAUUCUAGAACACAGAGGCUAUGACAAUCCAAACCAACAGUCUAUUCUAGAACACAGAGGCUAUGACACUCCAAACCAACAGUCCAUUCUAGAACACAAACCAACAGUCCAUUUGAGAACACAGAGGCUAUGACACUCUAAACCAACAGUCCAUUCUAGAACACAGAGGCUAUGACACUCCAAACCAACAGUCCAUUCUAGAACACAGAGGCUAUGACAUCCACCAAGCCAACAGUCCAUUCUAGAACACAGAGGCUAUGACACUCCAAACCAGCAGUCCAUUCUAGAGCACAGAGGCUAUGACAUUCCAAACCAACAGUCCAUUCUAGAACACAGAGGCUAUGAAAUUCCAAACCAACAGUCCAUUCUAGAACACAGAGGCUAUGACAUUCCAAACCAACAGGCUAGUCUAGAACACAGAGGCUAUGACAUUCCAAACCAACAGUCCAUUCUAGAACACAGAGGCUAUGACACUACAAACCAACAGUCCAUUCUAGAACACAAACCAACAGUCCAUUCUAGAACACAGAGGCUAUGACAUUCCAAACCAACAGUCUAUUCUAGAACACAGAGGCUAUGAAACUCCAAACCAACAGUCCAUUCUAGAACACAAACCAACAGUCCAUUCUAGAACACAGAGGCUAUGACAUUCCAAACCAACAGUCUAUUCUAGAACACAGAGGCUAUGACACUCCAAACCAACAGUCCAUUCUAGAACACAGAGGCUAUGACAUUCCAAACCAACAGUCCAUUCUAGAACACAGAGGCUAUGAUAUCCACCAAGCCAACAGUCCAUUCUAGAACACAGAGGCUAUGACACUACAAACCAACAGUCAGUUCUAGAACACAAACCAGCAGUCCAUUCUAGAGCACAGGGGCUAUGCCAUUCCAAACCAACAGUCUAUUCUAGAACACAGAGGCUACGACACUCCAAACCAACAGUCCAUUCUAGAACACAAACCAACAGUCCAUUCUAGAACACAGAGGCUAUGACAUUCCAAACCAACAGUCCAUUCAAGAACACAAUCCAACAGUCCAUUCGAGAACACAGAGGCUAUGACAUUCCAAACCAGCAGUCCAUUCUAGAGCACAGGGGCUAUGCCAUUCCAAACCAUCAGUCCAUUCUAGAGCACAGAGGCUAUGACAUUCCAAACCAACAGUCCAUUCAAGAACACAAAACAACAGUCCAUUCGAGAACACAGAGGCUAUGACAUUCCAAACCAACAGUCCAUUCAAGAACACAAUCCAACAGUCCAUUCGAGAACACAGAGGCUGUGACAUUCCAAACCAACAGUCCAUUCUAGAACACAGAGGCUAUGACAUCCACCAAGCCAACAGUCCAUUCUAGAACACAAACCAACAGUCCAUUCGAGAACACAGAGGCUAUGACACUCCAAACCAACAGUCCAUUCUAAAACAGAGGCUAUGAUAUUCCAAACCAACAGUCCAUUCAAGAACACAAACCAACAGUCCAUUCGAGAACACAGAGGCUAUGACAUUCCAAACCAACAGUCCAUUCAAGAACACAAUCCAACAGUCCAUUCGAGAACACAGAGGCUGUGACAUUCCAAACCAGCAGUCCAUUCUAGAGCACAGAGGCUAUGACAUUCCAAACCAACACAGAGCACAGAGGCUAUGACAUUCCAAACCAACAUCAAGAACACAAACCAACAGUCCAUUCGAGAACACAGAGGCUAUGACAUUCCAAACCAACAGUCUAUUCUAGAACACAGAGGCUAUGACAUCCUCCAAGCCAACAGUCCAUUCUAGAACACAGAGGCUAUGACACUCCAAACCAACAGUCCAUUCUAGAACACAGAGGCUAUGACACUACAAACCAACAGUCCAUUCUAGAACACAAACCAACAGUCCAUUCUAGAACACAGAGGCUAUGACAUUCCAAACCAACAGUCUAUUCUAGAACACAGAGGCUAUGACACUCCAAACCAACAGUCCAUUCUAGAACACAAACCAACAGUCCAUUCUAGAACACAGAGGCUAUGACAUUCCAAACCAACAGUCCAUUCUAGAACACAAACCAACAGUCCAUUCUAGAACACAGAGGCUAUGACAUUCCAAACCAACAGUCCAUUCAAGAACACAGAGGCUAUGCCAUUCCAAACCAGCAGUCCAUUCUAGAGCACAGAGGCUAUGCCAUUGCAAACCAACAGUCCAUUCAAGAACACAAACCAACAGUCCAUUCUAGAACACAGAGGCUAUGACAUUCCAAACCAACAGUCCAUUCUAGAACACAGAGGCUAUGACACUCCAAACCAACAGUCCAUUCUAGAACACAGAGGCUAUGACACUCCAAACCAACAGUCCAUUCUAGAACACAGAGGCUAUGACACUCCAAACCAACAGUCCAUUCUAGAACACAGAGGCUAUGACACUCCAAACCAACAGUCCAUUCUAAUGAGUAGUAUUGCACAGUACUGUAUGGUAUUGGAUAGUACUGAACAGUACUGUAUGGUAAUGAAUAGUACUGAACAGUACUGUAUGGUAAUGAAUAGUACUGAACAGUACUGUAUGGUAAUGAAUAGUACUGAACAG
ensembl:lncRNA